rnacentral:lncRNA from 1 species
UAAACUGUAAUCUCGAUCCUAUAACUUGACUCAUAGUAUGGCCUCUUUCAUAAAACUAUUUUUCAAAAUCAUGCAUAUUUAAUUCUGUGUCAAAAAGAUUUUAAAUCAUACAUAUUUACAUUAGGCAAAAUGUUUUCUAAACAUGCCUCAAAAAUCUGGGCUAAAAUAAUUGAUUAUGUAUUUAUGAUAAUCGAUUGUUUCUGAGCCAAGACUGCAUGACAAUCGAUUAUGAAU